AGCUCCAAUAGCGUAUAUUAAAGUUGUUGCAGUUAAAAAGCUCGUAGUCGGAUUUCGGGUCGGGCCGAGCGGUCUGCCGAUGGGUAUGCACUGUUCGGCGCGGCCUUCUUUCCGGAGACCGCGGCUACUCUUAACUGAGCGGGCGUGGGAGACGGAUCGUUUACUUUGAAAAAAUCAGAGUGUUUCAAGCAGGCAGCUCGCUCUUGCAUGGAUUAGCAUGGGAUAAUGAAAUAGGACUCUGGUGCUAUUUUGUUGGUUUCGAACACCGGAGUAAUGAUUAACAGGGACAGUCAGGGGCACUCGUAUUCCGUCGAGAGAGGUGAAAUUCUCAGACCAAUGGAAGACGAACCACUGCGAAAGCAUUUGCCAGGGAUGUUUUCACUGAUCAAGAACGAAAGUA
rnacentral:rRNA from 1 species